GAAUCAUUCGCAAUGGGGGAAACCCUGACGGUGCGACGCCGCGUGGAGGAUGAAGGCCUUCGGGUUGUAAACUCCUGUCAUCAAGGAGUAAGGUGUGGGGGUUAAGGGCUACCACAUGUGAUAGUACUUGAAGCGGAAGGGACGGCAAACUUCGUGCCAGCAGCCGCGGUAAUACGAAGGUCCCAAGCGUUGUUCGGAAUUACUGGGCGUCAAGGGAGCGUAGGCGGCGGGGUAAGUCAGAUGUGAAAUACCGGGGCUCAACUCCGGGACGGCAUCCGAUACUGCCUUGCUAGAGUAGUGGAGGGGCGACUGGAAUUCUCGGUGUAGCAGUGAAAUGCGUAGAGAUCGAGAGGAACACUAGUGGCGAAGGCGAGUCGCUGGACACUAACUGACGCUGAGGCUCGAAGGCUAGGGGAGCGAAAGGG
rnacentral:rRNA from 1 species